AACGGCCGCGGUUUUAUACCUGCUUGAAAGUAGCACAAGAUUAGUCUUUUAAAUGGAGAAUCGCAUGAAUGGCAUAACGAGGGCUUAGCUGUCUCGCCUCCCUGGUUAAUGAAAUUAAUUCCCUUGUGCAUAAGCAAGGAUAAUAACAUAAGACAAAAAGACCCUGCGGAACUUCAGGAUACAGCACAACCUACCAAACGUCACUGCAACCUUCGGUUGGGGCAACCUUGAAGAAAAACAAAACCUUCACGAAAUCACCUUAUAAAUUUGAAACAACAAUUCUAACUUAUAGAACAUCUAUUUAUAAGACCCGGAAAAUUACCGAUCAUCGAAACAAGCUACCCCAGGGAUAACAGCGCUAUCCCCUUAUAGAGACCUAAUCGACAAGGUGGGCCUAUGACCUCGAUGUUGGAUCGAGACAACCUAAU
rnacentral:rRNA from 1 species